rnacentral:rRNA from 1 species
UACGUAGGGGGCAAGCGUUGUCCGGAUUUACUGGGCGUAAAGCGCGUGUAGGCGGAGUUGCAAGUCCGGCUUGAAAGCCCCUGGCUCAACCAGGGAGAGUGGCUGGAAACUGCAAUUCUUGAGGGCGACAGAGGAGUGUGGAAUUCCUGGUGUAGCGGUGAAAUGCGUAGAGAUCAGGAGGAACACCCAUGGCGAAGGCAGCACUCUGGGUCGGCCCUGACGCUGAGACGCGAAAGCGUGGGGAGCGAACGGG